ACCAACGGAAAGGGAUCCUGUCAGGUUGGAGUAGAAAGAAGACAAGAGCAACGGAAAGGGAUCCUGUCAGGUUGGAGUAGAAAGAAGACGAGACCAACGGGAAAGGGAUCCUGUCAGGUUGGAGUAGAAAGAAGACGAGACCAACGGAAAGGGAUCCUGUCAGGUUGGAGUAGAAAGAAGACGAGACCAACGGAAAGGGAUCCUGUCAGGUUGGAGUAGAAAGAAGACAAGAGCGACGGAAAGGGAUCCUGUCAGGUUGGAGUAGAAAGAAGACGAGACCAACGGGAAAGGGAUCCUGUCAGGUUGCCAGUUGCCUUCAUUCUCACACAGAAUCCAGCCUUGCUGACCAGACGCAAUUGUCCUGUUUUUUUACAACUUUUUCAUCUGGCCUCCAUUAAUUUAGUCACCCUAAUUCUGGCCAUCAUCCUACAACGGUAAAAACUCCAAUAUCUUCUGAACAGAUUAUGAUAGAGACAUGACGUUUGGACCGUAGGUUUUCUUAGAGGAGUAUCUACACAAUUAACAUAUUGAUCUACAGUAUUGGUAAAAAUAUGCGUUUUUGAUUUGGCACCAUACUGUUGGGCUACUGUUUUGAAUCAGGGUUAUUUCUCGUCUUUAGAUUAAUGAGGCUUAAUUUACUUUUAAGAGAUGGCUAGAACAUUUUCUCAAUUACUCAAAUGGACAUUUGAGUACAAUCUAGUCUAGCCUAUAUUUGUGCAAUGGUUCUUCAUACAGGGGUCAGAGGAGCUCGGCUUGCUCCGUACCAUCUCCCAAGCCUCACGAGAGGAAAGAAAGCCCUCCUCUUCACCCAGAAUGAGGGCAGUGAGUUUGUCCAUAUAAAACUCUCACUGGGAUAACCUUCCCGUGCAAAUAUCAGGAAACAGGAAGAUCUCGUUGAAAGGUCUUUAUAUAGACUGACACCUAAGGUUGUAAUGGCAGAUUAAAACCUAGAGGUGACAGGCGACCUCCUUGUAUCAUCCCACCAGGUGUAACAAACCUCUAGAGAUUGAAGGAGAGAACAUGAAUUAGUCAACAUGUUACAUUUCCGUCAGUUAACAGAUAAGUGACGGUCUACCGGAUGAUUCUCAGUGUGCUUUUUCCACCACAGGUUGGCUCUUUCCUCAGGUCUGGACUGAUGAGGGACUCAACAUCUCAGAGUGCUGAUCCAGGAUGUGUUCUAGAUCCUAGUGAAUAUGAUUAUAUGAACAGGGGGGGAACCUGAUUCCAGAACAGCACUCCUACCCUUGGGGGCAGGUAGCCUAGCGGAUAGAGUUUGGCAAGUAACUGAAAAGGUUUGAAUACCCGAGCCGACAGGGUAAACAAAUCUGCCAAUGUGCUCUUGAGCAAAGCACUUAACCCUAAUUUGCUCCAGGGGUGCCAUACUACUAUGGCUGACCCUGUAGAACAACACAUUUCACUGCACCUAUCUGGUGUGAUGAGGGUACCAGCCUCUACAGGAUCUCAGUCCAGCCCAACAGGGUUCAUAAUUUGGCAACAAACGCACAGCGAGGGGCAAAUACUGUAUGUCAUGAAACAGGGGGAGGACUGCCAAGUUCCACCUUCCUAUGGUGGGGGGGAGCAUCUACUCAGCACAAACACAAGAGACUCAGAGGAAUGCACAUUGCCUACUUCAGCCAACAUGGAACAGACUUGACUGUGUCAAUCUGUUGAGCUGGGGCGGCUCACGCACACACACACACACACACACACACAGAGGAACGCAAGGCACUAACUGAGUCCUAUGCAGUGCGUGUUCUUGGAGGACAUGUCUGGAUAAGAAAAUACAUUUUCAUCAGAUAAGGAGGUACCGUUAACAAGAUGGCCGCCCUGAUUUCAUACAAUCACUCAUUAUUUUAAUGACGUAUAACAGCACUCAAUCACCCGAAGAAACAAUGCAUUUCCUUCCCUAGACGGCUUUCUUUUGGUCUCAGACGUGAAUGCUUACUUGAUUAGCCACUAGUGGCGAGUGCAUGGAGAGGAGCUCGUGGUUCUGUCCCAAAUGGUACCCUAUUCCCUACAUAGGGCACUACUUUUGCACAGGGCCCUGGUUAAAAGCAGUGCACUACAUAGAGAAUGGUGUGCCACUUGGGAGGGAGCCUUAUUCCUCUGUGAUUUAUAUCAGGGUAGUGCAGCUCUGUUGUGGAAUAUUGUUUCUAACGGAAUUCCCUUUUCCUUCCCCGCUUCCCAUCGACUUCAUUCUUUCCACAGAAUCCAUGACUACUGACAAACACUAGUUUUCCCAGUCUCUCACCAGCCUGCCUCCCAAUUGGCUCUCAGUCACAAGCGACAUCAGUUACAGAAAGGUGAAGGAGGAGGUGUGACGUAACAGUAACAAGGAACAGAACAGGACAGGUAGCAGAAUCGAUCGGGAUUCUGAAUGGAUGGUAAAAAUUAAUAUUAUUACGCUUUGUAAAUUCAGUAACUUCCCU
ensembl:lncRNA